CACCUGUUUCUGUCAGCAGGACAUCCUUGUGCACUGGAAGAGUUGAGAGCUGUUAAGUGGAGGGGCAACUUAGCUUCCAAGGGAAGAGUUGCCCAAAGUUAAUGGGAGUGUCUCCUCAUAUUCACAUAAUGCCUUCCAUACCCUUCCAUAUCCCUGAAGGUCAGAGGUGGGAUUCAGCAGGUUCGCACCUAUUCUAUAGAACCGAUUCCUAAAUGUACUAUUGGUUCUUAGAACCGUUUGCUGGCCUGAGAUGAAUGAAGGAGGAGGGGCCAGGUGACCAGCUACGAGCGGGGGGGGAGGGGGCGCAAUUAGCUGCCUCCCUUCCUGCGCCACACUGAGGUGGGGUGUGGGUGAGAGAGAUAAAGCCCUGGAAAGAGCAGAGGC
rnacentral:lncRNA from 1 species